ensembl:lncRNA
CUCAGAUGAGCCCGCGUGCCCGCGGGGAGCCGCAGACUGAAUGCGGCCGCGCUGCAGCGCAUGCGUCACCGAGCGCGCGCACGUGCCCCGCAGCCCCUCGCGUUUCUGCUUCCCUUCCCCCUCCCCGGCCCCCCCCCUUUCCCCCCCCCCGACCUCUUCCCGCAGCCCGGCCCAGCUGUCCCCGCGCUGGGGGCCCGCACAGGGAUGCGUCGUCCCAGGAUGGUGCGGCCACGCUGCUUAUGGCCCACGUGCCACAGCGACCACCCCCGACCCCCUCCGUGAGAUGCAUCCCCCCCCCUCCCCCAGCCCCCCAAAAAAGCGAGGCCAGGCGAGCGUGUGGGUUUUUUUUUUUGUUGUUUUUUUUUUUUUUUUCAUUCACUUUUCCGCAUACUUUUUUUUUUUUUUAUUUGUUACAAACAUACAAUUCUUUAAAUAUAGACUGUAAAACUCCAUUUGCAAAAAUCUGCUACGGUAAGGAGUGCUCGCUAGCAUGAGGAGUUCGUCACGUCGGGCGUCAUCUUUUGCUAGUGGUAAAUCCAGGACCUGCCUUCGGCAAACGCCGGCCGCUCCCCGGCGCUCCCGAAGCCGCCCCGCCGGCCGCAGAGGAAGGGAAUGAGAAUCGGCCCCGCCGCCGUGGGAGAGGGGACGGGACCCCCCCGGGCAGCCCCGCGCUGGGCCGCGUAAAGUGCAUGGUUUGCUUUUAUUUUUUUUUUCUUUCUUUCAUUAAAAAAAUAAGAGGAAUAAAACUUUCUUCUUUCGUCAAGGUACGCGGGGAGGAGUGAACGACGUUUUGGUCUCUCAGCAGAUAUUGCAGGAGCCAGGCCCGGCCCUCCUUGCAAGGUGUUUUGCCAUCCAGCGGCCCCCGGCUCCUCCUGCGCCCCGGGAUAACCGCCUGCUCCGCCAUCUUGUCGGCCUCGCGCUGCCUCCAGGAGCCGCCCGUCGCCUCCUUCCAUCGCUGCCGAGCUCCGAGCUUCAAUCCGUGCUGCAGGACGGGGCGAGCGCCUUCCCACACAGCGGGCCUGGAAUGUGCCACGCUCAGAGCCAACACCACCACACCCAGCAGCAGCGCCCUGCCGGGCACCGCCGCAGCCACGGGAGGACGAGGAGGGACCCGCAGCACGCACAGACGUCCCCAAAACCUCCCGGCACGGAGCUGAGCUGCUCUUCCAACGGCCAUCUUCUCAAUCUGCUCCCGGCCCCGUGGCAAAUAUCUGCUGAGAGACGGUCGCCGCGCCGCCCCGCGUACCAUCACCACUCGCUUCACGGUUCUUUUUAACUUUUUUUUUUUUUUCCUUUUUAAUUUUUUUUUUUUUUUCAUCUUCUAUUUUAAAAGAGAAGCCGGCGAGGUGGGUUUUCUUUUCCGCCAACGAGAGAAGCUGCCCCUCAGUGCAGAGCGGAGCAGCUGGGGAGCGAAGCGCCUCGGAACCGCGCCGGGGAGCGGCCGCAUCCCGACGAGUCGCCCUCCGCUGUCACGGAGUGAUGGACCACUCAAUAUGAGGGGAUCACUGCAGCCAACUCCUGUGCCCGUUACCCCGGGGCGGCCGGAAGCACGCGGGGUAACGCAGCGUUUCCGUUUUCUCUUGGGAGGGAGCGGGGAAAAUCGAAGCAGUUUUGACUUUGACGGAGCCGUGGGAUUUGAUUCUUGGGCUGAUCCACGCGGGCGGCCGGCCCGGACGUCUCGGCUAUUUACACGAGGUUCUGGGGCGCUAUACAAGAUUUACAUUUCCGUUUGUACAGCAGAUGCUUUGAUAGAGUCGCGCUCUCAAACCGUCCCUUCCGGGGCGACAGAAAUCUGGAAGCUCCACAAACCCGGCGUUCCCCUUCCGGAUAAAAGCCUUUUGCCCGUCUCCUACAGAAUCCAAGCCAUUGAAAAAGAAAAACAAAAACAAAAACCAACCAAGCGAAACAACCACCUCAUAUCUAUACACACAUACAGGGCUGUGUGUAUACAGACACAGAAGGAACAACCGAACCGCCGCCACGCGAAGCCCGGCUCUGCCCGCUGGCGUUGGGGAGCAGGAGGGGAGUCGGCUCCCACCACCGAGCACGGCAGACCACCACCACAACCCCUCUCCUCCCCUCGCGGGGUGCAGCCGGGCCUCGCUCAGCCUCUCCGUGUGGCUGCGGCCAGAAAACACCGCACCGCUCUGCUUGUUCUCUCUUUGUUGCUGCGAGAUUUCUUCCCCCGACGCGCUCUGCUCUUCUCACCCGUGUGCUGGAAGGUCAAAUGGAGCUGUGGGAGGUUUCUGUACAUAGAUACAGCGCUCAGAGCCGGCGCCGGGUGGGACAGAUGUGCUGGGUGUUGGGUUUUUUUUGGCCUGCGUGAUGUUUGCCUCUUCCCUUUUCCACGUGGCUCCUAAGCGGCGCUACCACGGAGUAAGAAAGGAGAGGUACCGCCCGCGUCGGCGCAAGAACCGGAGUGGCUCCCAGCAGCUGAGCAACAGAAAGUCCAUCAGCACCGAAGCGAGGGGACGCGGCGCUGCUGGCGCGGACACACACAGCAAUACAGCAGGACAUCACUGGGACAGCUGCCUUACAGUACAAAAUACAGUACGAGUGUACGGCGCCGGGCGGACACGCAGGAAUUACUAUUGCUCCCGGGAGGGCGUCGGAAACCGAGUCCUUUCGUGAUGGAGGAGAGUUAAAAACAGGAAAACGGAAGAGAGUCCUGGUUAAAAAUUCCCUUCAAAAGGGGCGGCGGGGGGCGCGUGGGGACGGCCCCGCUGGGAUGAGCCGCCCUCGGCCGUGCCUCACUUCUGCCAAUAAAUACGGAGCAAACGGAGCGGGGCGGCCGGGAGAGGGAUGGAGACAAUAAAUUAAGAAGGCAGCUGAAAUGAGAGGGCGGGCGUGCGUGGUGUGAGACAGAACCGGAGGGACGACGACGGUCCUACGAGAGCCUGGGAGGCGUCACACAGCAAUAGCUGGAACUUUGGAAUGAACAGCGGGCUCCCAUUCAGUUCAAAGUUAGGAGUACGGCGUGUUGGCUUAAAAAAAACCCCGCUGUGCAGGGCGGGACUGAGCCGAUUGCUUUAAAAAAUAAAGACCAUUCGAGAGUGAAAAUCCAUUUAAUAACAGAGGAGAGCGCCGAGAGGCCCCGCUGUGCUCCGCGGCGGCAGGAGCCGCGCUGGCGGAACGUCGAGGUGGUCAUUAAGAAUAAUUAAAAAAGGGGGAGAGAGGACAAAAAAUUAAAAAAAAAAAAAAACCAAAAAGGGGGGGGAAAAAAAAAAAAAAAAAAUGAAAACCAAACCCAAAAAAAGGGGGGAGACGUGGCGGGGCUCCCAGCUCCCCCAGCCACCACACGUUGAGGUACUGAGGAGACGCGUUGAGUUCGUGUUAAAAACCCGCGCUCGGAGGAGGGAGAGGAGGAAGAAGAAGAGGAGCGGGGUGGGAUUUCUGCACCUGAGGUCGGCGGCACCGCGGCGUGGGGGAUCCCUGCGGCACCGCGGCCGUGUGCUUUGUGCUGCUGCCUUCUGCUGCUGCCUUCCUGCUGCUCGCCCUCUCUCUGCGACCCCCGUGGUCGAAAGAAAAGGAGAGGAAGGGGGGGGGGGGGGGGGAGAAAAAAAGCCAAAAAGGAGAAAAAAAGAAAAAAAAAAAAAGGAGGAAAAAAGAAAAAAAAAAAAAAGGAGGAAAAAAGAGCCCCGAAGCCAAACGAGGCCGUUCCUCACUCCUCACAAACCUGCCGGAUUCCCACCUGCUCGGCUGCGGGGUCCGGGUCGGCUGCCCGGAGUUCUGCAUCCCGGAAAACAACGCUGCGGAACGGAGGGGGGGAGAUGGGCUAAAUUCAAAAGGGAAAUCGAAGGAGACAAUGGACGUUGGUCCAGAGACGAACCCCUGCGUGGCAUCGCAUCGCAUCGUAUCGCAUCGCCUCUCGCGGCCGUGGGCUCCGGUGCAGACGCCGGGAUGCUGGUGGGGCAGUGCCGGCACGGAGAGGGGGCGGGAUGGAACGGGACAGGACGGGAGAGAAGAGAGCAAAGGAGAGGAAAGGAGAGGAGAGGACAGGAGGGGGGCCCGGCGGCCCCGAGGAGCGCAGAGUCCUCGUUGGAAGCGGGCUGAGGGCUGCGGGCGCUCCGUGCCCCGUCGGAAGGAGAGACGCGGGGGGGGCUGCGGUCGGGCCCGGCGCUCCCUCCGUGUCCGGCGGCGCGGGGCGCGGGGCCCCC